rnacentral:rRNA from 1 species
AGUUCGGAGAGUUUGAUCCUGGCUCAGGACGAACGCUGACGGUGUGCUUUAGACAUGCAAGUCGAACGCGAAAGCCCUUCGGGGCGAGUAGAGUGGCGAACGGGUGAGUAACACGUGGGUAACCUGCCCCUCGCAGGGGGAUAACCGGGGGAAACCCCGGCUAAUAGCCCGUACGCUCGUUGGGCCGCAUGGCUCUUCGAGGAAAGGUAGCUUCGGCCAUCCGGCGAGGGAUGGGCCCGCGGUACAUUAGCUAGUUGGUGGGGUAACGGCUCACCAAGGCAACGAUGUAUAGCUGGUCUGAGAGGAUGAUCAGCCACACUG